GCUGGGGAGCUACCAUGCAGUCGAGCGGAACGAUGGAAGCUUGCUUCCAGGCGUCGAGCGGCGGACGGGUGAGUAAUGCAUAGGAAUCUGCCCGAUAGUGGGGGAUAACCUGGGGAAACCCAGGCUAAUACCGCAUACGUCCUACGGGAGAAAGCAGGGGAUCUUCGGACCUUGCGCUAUCGGAUGAGCCUAUGUCGGAUUAGCUAGUUGGUGAGGUAACGGCUCACCAAGGCCGCGAUCCGUAGCUGGUCUGAGAGGAUGAUCAGCCACAUCGGGACUGAGACACGGCCCGAACUCCUACGGGAGGCAGCAGUGGGGAAUAUUGGACAAUGGGCGAAAGCCUGAUCCAGCCAUGCCGCGUGUGUGAAGAAGGCUUUCGGGUUGUAAAGCACUUUCAGUGGGGAAGAAAUCCUCGGGGCCAAUACCCUCGAGGGAGGACAUCACCCACAGAAGAAGCACCGGCUAACUCCGUGCCAGCAGCCGCGGUAAUACGGAGGGUGCGAGCGUUAAUCGGAAUUACUGGGCGUAAAGCGCGCGUAGGCGGCGUGAUAAGCCGGUUGUGAAAGCCCCGGGCUCAACCUGGGAACGGCAUCCGGAACUGUCAGGCUAGAGUGCAGGAGAGGAAGGUAGAAUUCCCGGUGUAGCGGUGAAAUGCGUAGAGAUCGGGAGGAAUACCAGUGGCGAAGGCGGCCUUCUGGACUGACACUGACGCUGAGGUGCGAAAGCGUGGGUAGCAAACAGGAUUAGAUACCCUGGUAGUCCACGCCGUAAACGAUGUCGACUAGCCGUUGGGGUCCUUGUGACCUUUGUGGCGCAGUUAACGCGAUAAGUCGACCGCCUGGGGAGUACGGCCGCAAGGUUAAAACUCAAAUGAAUUGACGGGGGCCCGCACAAGCGGUGGAGCAUGUGGUUUAAUUCGAUGCAACGCGAAGAACCUUACCUACUCUUGACAUCGUGCGAACUUUCCAGAGAUGGAUUGGUGCCUUCGGGAACGCACAGACAGGUGCUGCAUGGCCGUCGUCAGCUCGUGUUGUGAAAUGUUGGGUUAAGUCCCGUAACGAGCGCAACCCUUGUCCCUAUUUGCCAGCGAUUCGGUCGGGAACUCUAGGGAGACUGCCGGUGACAAACCGGAGGAAGGUGGGGACGACGUCAGGUCAUCAUGGCCCUUACGAGUAGGGCUACACACGUGCUACAAUGGCCGGUACAAAGGGUUGCGAAGCCGCGAGGUGGAGCUAAUCCCGAAAAGCCGGUCUCAGUCCGGAUCGGAGUCUGCAACUCGACUCCGUGAAGUCGGAAUCGCUAGUAAUCGUGAAUCAGAAUGUCACGGUGAAUACGUUCCCGGGCCUUGUACACACCGCCCGUCACACCAUGGGAGUGGACUGCACCAGAAGUGGUUAGCCUAACUUCGGAGGGCGAUCACCACGUUGGACGC
rnacentral:rRNA from 1 species